UGCGGCCCUUUCCAUUAGCAAGAAGAACCGUCUAAAUCUGGAGGCAGCAAGCAGUAGUGUGCGGCGUGGACAGCUCCUGCCCUCCUCCAGGCGCGCAGCACAAGGCCAAGAGGAGGAGGAGACAGCG
rnacentral:lncRNA from 1 species